GACGUAGGGUGCGAGCGUUGUCCGGAUUUAUUGGGCGUAAAGAGCUCGUAGGCGGUUCGUUGCGUCAGCUGUGAAAAACCCGCAGCUUAACUGUGGGCUUGCAGCUGAUACGGGCGGACUAGAGUUCGGUAGGGGAGACUGGAAUUCCUGGUGUAGCGGUGAAAUGCGCAGAUAUCAGGAGGAACACCGAUGGCGAAGGCAGAUCUCUGGGCCGUAACUGACGCUGAGGAGCGAAAGCAUGGGGAGCGAACAGG
rnacentral:rRNA from 1 species